rnacentral:rRNA from 1 species
AACGAACGCUGGCGGCAGGCCUAACACAUGCAAGUCGAGCGAAGCCUUCGGGCUUAGCGGCGGACGGGUGAGUAACGCGUGGGAACGUGCCCUUUGGUACGGAAUAGCCCCGGGAAACUGGGAGUAAUACCGUAUGUGGUCGAGAGACGAAAGAUUUAUCGCCAAAGGAUCGGCCCGCGUUGGAUUAGGUAGUUGGUGGGGUAAUGGCCUACCAACCCGACGAUCCAUAGCUGGUUUGAGAGGAUGAUCAGCCACACUGGGACUGAGACACGGCCCAGACUCCUACGGGAGGCAGCAGUUGGGAAUAUUGCACAAUGGACGACAGUCUGAUGCAGCGACGCCGCGUGGUCGAAGAAGCCUUUCGGGGUGUAAAGACCUUUUGUGAGGGAAGAUUGUGACGGUACCUCACGAAUAAGAGCCUGCUAACUCCGUGCCAGCAGCCGCCGUAAGAC